CAGUAGCGGCGAGCGAACGGGGAGCAGCCCAGAGCCUGAAUCAGUGUGUGUGUUAGUGGAAGCGUCUGGAAAGGCGCGCGAUACAGGGUGACAGCCCCGUACACAAAAAUGCACAUACUGUGAGCUCGAUGAGUAGGGCGGGACACGUGGUAUCCUGUCUGAAUAUGGGGGGACCAUCCUCCAAGGCUAAAUACUCCUGACUGACCGAUAGUGAACCAGUACCGUGAGGGAAAGGCGAAAAGAACCCCGGCGAGGGGAGUGAAAAAGAACCUGAAACCGUGUACGUACAAGCAGUGGGAGCACAGAGCAAUCUGUGUGACUGCGUACCUUUUGUAUAAUGGGUCAGCGACUUAUAUUCUGUAGCAAGGUUAACCGAAUAGGGGAGCCGAAGGGAAACCGAGUCUUAACUGGGCGUUAAGUUGCAGGGUAUAGACCCGAAACCCGGUGAUCUAGCCAUGGGCAGGUUGAAGGUUGGGUAACACUAACUGGAGGACCGAACCGACUAAUGUUGAAAAAUUAGCGGAUGACUUGUGGCUGGGGGUGAAAGGCCAAUCAAACCGGGAGAUAGCUGGUUCUCCCCGAAAGCUAUUUAGGUAGCGCCUCGUGAAUUCAUCUCCGGGGGUAGAGCACUGUUUCGGCAAGGGGGUCAUCCCGACUUACCAACCCGAUGCAAACUGCGAAUACCGGAGAAUGUUAUCACGGGAGACACACGGCGGGUGCUAACGUCCGUCGUGAAGAGGGAAACAACCCAGACCGCCAGCUAAGGUCCCAAAGUCAUGGUUAAGUGGGAAACGAUGUGGGAAGGCCCAGACAGCCAGGAUGUUGGCUUAGAAGCAGCCAUCAUUUAAAGAAAGCGUAAUAGCUCACUGGUCGAGUCGGCCUGCGCGGAAGAUGUAACGGGGCUAAACCAUGCAC
rnacentral:rRNA from 1 species